rnacentral:snoRNA from 1 species
UCUUUGUAAUGCAUCAAUAGAUCUUGCUUGCCCUUCACUGUGUACUCAGUUGAAUGGAAGGGAAGGAAAAAAACCUAUGACAGAGA